rnacentral:rRNA from 1 species
UUGACCUCAAAUCAGGUAGGACUACCCGCUGAACUUAAGCAUAUCAAUAAGCGGAGGAAAAGAAACUAACAAGGAUUCCCCUAGUAACUGCGAGUGAAGCGGGAAAAGCUCAAAUUUGAAAUCUGGCRGUUCUUGAACUGUCCGAGUUGUAAUCUAGAGAAGUGUUACCUGUGCUGGACCGUGUACAAGUCUCCUGGAAUGGAGCAUCACAGAGGGUGAGAAUCCCGUCUUUGACAUGGACUGCCUGUACGAUAUGGUGCGCUCUCGAAGAGUCGAGUUGUUUGGGAAUGCAGCUCAAAAUGGGUGGUAAAUGCCAUCUAAAGCUAAAUAUUGGCGAGAGACCGAUAGCGAACAAGUACCGUGAGGGAAAGAUGAAAAGAACUUUGGAAAGAGAGUUAAACAGUACGUGAAAUUGCUGAAAGGGAAACGCUUGAAGUCAGUCGCGUCGGCUAGAAAUCAGCCUUUGCUUUUGCUUGGUGUACUUUCUGGUUGAUGAGUCAGCAUCAAUUUUGACCAUCGGAUAAAGUCAUUGGGAAUGUGGCAUCUUAGGAUGUGUUAUAGCCCAUUGUCGCAUACGGUGGUUGGGAUUGAGGAACUCAGCAUGAGCGAGAUGACGCUCGUGCUUAGGAUGCUGGCAUAAUGGCUUUAAUCGAC